rnacentral:rRNA from 1 species
GACGAACGCUGGCGGCGUGCUUAACACAUGCAAGUCGAACGAAGAGCGAUGGAAGCUUGCUUCUAUCAAUCUUAGUGGCGAACGGGUGAGUAACGCGUAAUCAACCUGCCCUUCAGAGGGGGACAACAGUUGGAAACGACUGCUAAUACCGCAUACGAUCUAAUCUCGGCAUCGAGGAUAGAUGAAAGGUGGCCUCUACAUGUAAGCUAUCACUGAAGGAGGGGAUUGCGUCUGAUUAGCUAGUUGGAGGGGUAACGGCCCACCAAGGCGAUGAUCAGUAGCCGGUCUGGGAGGAUGAACGGCCACAUUGGGACUGAGACACGGCCCAGACUCCUACGGGAGGCAGCAGUGGGGAAUCCUCCGCAAUGGACGAAAGUCUGACGGAGCAACGCCGCGUGAGUGAUGACGGCCUUCGGGUUGUAAAGCUCUGUUAAUCGGGACGAAAGGCCUUCUUGCGAAUAGUGAGAAGGAUUGACGGUACCGGAAUAGAAAGCCACGGCUAACUACGUGC